AGAGUUUGAUCCUGGCUCAGAACGAACGCUGGCGGCAUGCCUAACACAUGCAAGUCGAACGAGACCUUCGGGUCUAGUGGCGCACGGGUGCGUAACGCGUGGGAAUCUGCCCUUGGGUUCGGGAUAACAGUUGGAAACGACUGCUAAUACCGGAUGAUGACUUCGGUCCAAAGAUUUAUCGCCCAGGGAUGAGCCCGCGUCGGAUUAGCUAGUUGGUGAGGUAAAGGCUCACCAAGGCGACGAUCCGUAGCUGGUCUGAGAGGAUGAUCAGCCACACUGGGACUGAGACACGGCCCAGACUCCUACGGGAGGCAGCAGUGGGGAAUAUUGGACAAUGGGCGCAAGCCUGAUCCAGCCAUGCCGCGUGAGUGAUGAAGGCCUUAGGGUUGUAAAGCUCUUUCAACGGUGAAGAUAAUGACGGUAACCGUAGAAGAAGCCCCGGCUAACUUCGUGCCAGCAGCCGCGGUAAUAC
rnacentral:rRNA from 1 species